rnacentral:tRNA from 1 species
GUUGUGGCUCAGUGGUAGAGCACUUGCCUUGCAAGUAUGAGGCACUGGGUUCGAUUCCAGCACCACA